AAAUUGAAGAGUUUGAUCAUGGCUCAGAUUGAACGCUGGCGGCAGGCCUAACACAUGCAAGUCGAACGGUAACAGAGAGCAGCUUGCUGCUUUGCUGACGAGUGGCGGACGGGUGAGUAAUGUCUGGGAAACUGCCUGAU
rnacentral:rRNA from 1 species